rnacentral:rRNA from 1 species
AUUGAACGCUGGCGGCAUGCCUUACACAUGCAAGUCGAACGGCAGCACGGGGGCAACCCUGGUGGCGAGUGGCGAACGGGUGAGUAAUACAUCGGAACGUGCCCCGUAGCGGGGGACAACCAGUCGAAAGACUGGCUAAUACCGCAUACGCUCCACGGAGGAAAGCAGGGGAUCGCAAGGCCUUGCACUAUGGGAGCGGCCGAUGCCCGAUUAGCUAGUUGGUGAGGUAAAGGCUCACCAAGGCAACGAUCGGUAGCUGGUCUGAGAGGACGACCAGCCACACUGGGACUGAGACACGGCCCAGACUCCUACGGGAGCAGCAGUGGGGAAUUUGGCAAUGGGCGCAAGCCUGAUCCAGCCAUGCCGCGUGCGGGAAGAAGGCCUGGU